rnacentral:rRNA from 1 species
UACGUAGGUGGCAAGCGUUAUCCGGAUUUACUGGGUGUAAAGGGCGUGUAGGCGGUUCUGCAAGUCGGGUGUGAAAUCUCCGGGCUUAACCCGGACGGGUCACCCGAAACUGCGGAACUUGAGUACUGGAGAGGAUAGUGGAAUUCCUAGUGUAGCGGUAAAAUGCGUAGAUAUUAGGAGGAACACCAGUGGCGAAGGCGGCUAUCUGGACAGUAACUGACGCUGAGGCGCGAAAGCGUGGGGAGCAAACAGGAUUAGAUACCCUGGUAGUCCCUGAGCGGG